AGCCUCCGUUUUAGUUGUGAUCAGCUUUGAUCAGCUCUUCAACUUGAGAGUUUGAUCCUGGCUCAGAGCGAACGCUGGCGGCAGGCUUAACACAUGCAAGUCGAGCGGGCAUCCUCGUGGUGUCAGCGGCAGACGGGUGAGUAACGCGUGGGAACGUGCCCUUCGGUUCGGAAUAACUCAGGGAAACUUGAGCUAAUACCGGAUACGUGCGAGAGCAGAAAGGUUUAUCUGCCGAAGGAUCGGCCCGCGUCUGA
rnacentral:rRNA from 1 species